rnacentral:rRNA from 1 species
GACGAACGCUGGCGGCGUGCUUAACACAUGCAAGUCGAACGGAAAGGCCCUGCUUUUGUGGGGUGCUCGAGUGGCGAACGGGUGAGUAACACGUGAGUAACCUGCCCUUGACUUUGGGAUAACUUCAGGAAACUGGGGCUAAUACCGGAUAGGAGCUCCUGCUGCAUGGUGGGGGUUGGAAAGUUUCGGCGGUUGGGGAUGGACUCGCGGCUUAUCAGCUUGUUGGUGGGGUAGUGGCUUACCAAGGCUUUGACGGGUAGCCGGCCUGAGAGGGUGACCGGCCACAUUGGGACUGAGAUACGGCCCAGACUCCUACGGGAGGCAGCAGUGGGGAAUAUUGCACAAUGGGCGGAAGCCUGAUGCAGCAACGCCGCGUGCGGGAUGACGGCCUUCGGGUUGUAAACCGCUUUCUCCUGUGACGAAGCGUUAGUGACGGUAAUGGGUAAAGAAGCACCGGCUAACUACGUG